GAUGAACGCUGGCGGCGUGCCUAAUACAUGCAAGUCGAGCGAACGGACGAGAAGCUUGCUUUUCUGAUGUUAGCGGCGGACGGGUGAGUAACACGUGGAUAACCUACCUAUAAGACUGGGAUAACUUCGGGAAACCGGAGCUAAUACCGGAUAAUAUUUUGAACCGCAUGGUUCAAAAGUGAAAGACGGUCUUGCUGUCACUUAUAGAUGGAUCCGCGCUGCAUUAGCUAGUUGGUAAGGUAACGGCUUACCAAGGCAACGGUGCAUAGCCGACCUGAAAGGGAGGUCGGCUACCUGGGAACGGAGAAAGGUCCCCGACACUGAGGGUGGGAAGCGGCAGGGAAUCUUCCGGAAGGGGGGAAAGGGUAACGUAGCACAGCGGGGGGAGGGAUGAAGGAGUCCUGACGGGAAAAUGAUGUAAUUCUGAAAGAACAAAUGUUUUUUUAACGGGGAAGAUCUUGACGGUACCUAAUCAAAAAGCCACGGCUAACUACGUG
rnacentral:rRNA from 1 species